rnacentral:lncRNA from 1 species
UUUUAUUCCCCUCAACUUCACGAGCACGUCUCCUCCGUCCUCAUCUCCUUCGCUGCUCUGGCUUCCAAUUGCAUUUUUCUCGACAACUUCAGCUUCCUUUCAUUGAUCCUUCGAACAGCCCAUCUUCUCCACUCAUUCUCUCGCUCGCUGCUGCCGCCCCACUUCAUUUCCUCGUGGCUUUGCUCAACCCAGUCAACGAAACCAGCAACUCCUCCAUCUUGUUGACCGAAGCUACCCCAGCAACCGCCACAUGUCCGCAUCCUCAUCUUGCUCGGUCAAUUGCCAACGUCGAAGCCCGCAAGUCCAGUGAAUCUCCACUCCAGCUACCCCAUGUACUGCCACCUAAGACCUCUAGCAACGUCCACCGAAGCUCCCUCCUUCGAAGACUUUGCUGCCCGCGUGCGUCUCUUCCAGCUCUGCCACGUUCAGCCCACGUUCCACGGAGCCUCACGCCUGCAUCGCCAGAUCAAGCCCUCCAACGGUUGCCAGCAGCUGCUUCCGCCAUCUUCGAUCCUCCUGCCCCGCUUGCUGCCUCCAUCUAGCCGUGUGAAUCGCACGAAGCAAGCCGUGGAUUCCAGUGUCUUCGGCCCACCAGCAGCCCAGUUGAGUCCAGAGAAUUGAGUCAGCCAAUUUCAUCCCUUGCCGCUCCUUUGCUCGGGCCCAUCAGCCCAGCAAAAUGAAGUCCAAGUUUUAAGCUCAAUCCACUCAAGUCUCAGCCCAUCUUCACUUGGAUCCAAGCCUGCAGCAGGCCCAUCUUCAGCCCACACGAUUUCAGCAAUUCAGCCCAAGGAGUCAAGCUACAGCCCAUGUGAAAUUCAGCCUGUGGAGCCCAAGUCUACAAGUGCAGCCCGUCUUCAGUUUUUGGCCCAAGUGAACCUCAGUCCAGCAGCCCAGUUUUUGAGGCCCAAGCCCAUCAACCAAGCCCAGAAGUUUCCGUGGGUUUGUAAGGCCUUUGGGCCCAGCCCGAGUGAUCGUUGACGUCGCUGAAAAUUCGGAUUUCGGCCGUUGUCGCACCGUCGCGUCGCCGUCACAGUGUCCCGGUCCCCACUUUUAAUCCAGUGAGUUUUACUCACUAAUGCUUUCUUAGUUUGCUAAUUAUGCUUAAGGGUUGAUUAGAUUUAAUUAAGUGCAAUUAUGUGGUUAGAUUAGUUUAGAGUAAUUUCAUUAGUGAUGUAAUGAUGCAUGUUAGGUGAUUGAUUAGUGUAAUUAGCCAGUAGAGAUGUACUAUUAUUUAUUGAAUGCAUCUCGGGAUUUUUCCUGACCCAUUAUGGCGUCCAAUCAGGCAUUACGAGCCUAAAUUGAAUUUUUAGUAUUUAAUCAUUUAUUUUCGAAAUUAAUUUAAUUAUUUAUUUAUUUUUCGGAAAUAAGGAUGGGAUAGCCGACGAUCGGAAUUUUAUGCUGAUUGUCGUGGCACAGUCCAUUUAUUUAAUUGAGCUUUAUUCUGUGUUGAGUUGAAUUAUUUGUGAAAUUGAGAAUUAUUCUUUAAUUGAAUAAUCUUUGGUUAUUAAUUGGAAAAUAACCGGGUGUCGGUUGAUAGCACCAAAAAUGUUUUGGUGGACUAUAGAUAAGGGUGGGAUCUAUGGAAAGAAAAUCGUAAUAUUUUGGCUAAGGUCGACCGUGUGCCGACACACGUGUACUUUUGUCAAGAAUGAAUAAAAUGACAAAUUGAUUGUACGUUCAAAGUAUCAUGUUAUACAAUACCGGCUCGGUGAUCCUAUAGGUUAUUUUGUAGAAUGAACGAUAUAUAAUACCGGCUCGGUGACCCUAUAGAUCAUUUUGUAGAAUGAACGGUAUACAAUGUCGACUUGGUGACUAUAUGUCAUUUUGGAGAAUGGACGAUAUGCCAUAACGGCUCGAUGACUCAACAUGUCAUUUUGGAGGAUGGACGUUAUGAUGAAUAUACUCGAUAUACCAUGUCAGCUCGGUGACUCUAUAGGUCAUUUUGGAGAAUGGACGACAUGCCAUAAUGGCUCGGUGACUCAAUAUGUCAUUUUGGAGAAUGGACGUUAUGAUGAAUAUACUCGAUAGCUUGGUAUGUCAGUAAGGAAAAUGAAUCUUAUAAAAUACUGGCUUGGUAACCUGAUGGGUUAUUUUAGAGAAUGGACAGUAUUGAUUUAAAUGACCAAGAGAUGGUCCGGCUGACAUGUAAUCGACUAGGUCGAUUGAUCAUUGCUUUGAUUUAAUGUUGUGAGUUGAUUGAUUGAAUUGAAAUGAUCGGAGAAAUGUCAUGUUGACAUGAAACCGACUAGAUCAAUUGAUCGAGAUGUCGAUCUGUGAUUGCUUGGGUGCCUAUUGAAGUGUGCUAAUAUGCAGGUGGAAUCUAAGGCCAAGGUAAGUCCUCUGACCCGUGCGUGCAUAGGCAACCCGGUUAGUAUAUUGGUUUACUAAUCGAGUCUUAGGGGGUAGAACUUGCUGAGACGUGGUCUCAAUGCUUAUUGAAUAACCAUUUCAGGACCCUGAUGAGGAGCCUGAGGAGGAGGAAUCUGAAGAGGAGAACCCUGAUGUGGAACCAGAUGAGGAGCAAGAUUUUGGAGAAGAAGAUGACCACGAGGAGGAUCCUGAGUACGACCUAGAUGAGGACUAAGAUCCCAUCUUGUUUUGUCAGACCUUGAUUAUAUGUGAAUAAGUGUUAAAUCAGCUCCUGUGAAUAGUAUUGCAUUAUAUACUAUGAGGUGCUUGUAUAAAAGUGUGGUUAUGAAUUUCAAUAUGAAAAUUAUGGCCCUGCUUUUCUAUCACAUUGCUUUAUUGUCUGGGA